rnacentral:misc_RNA from 1 species
UUCGUCGCUCUAAAGCAUUCAAGCAAAAACUAGAUGAAGGGGAUGGCUGUCAGUCUUUAGGUGAAAGUUAUGUCCAAUGUGUCCAACCCAUUCCUGCACUAGAGGACUCCCAUUCAUCAGUGAAGAAUUUGGAGCUGCCAAACUUUGAUGGCACUGGUCCUAUUGGUUGGUUGGCUAGAGCUAAGCAAUACUUCAAGCUUCAUGGAACUCGUCUUGCCAUGAAAGUUACUAUGGCCCUUAUUUCCAUGGAAGGCAUCGCGUUACAUUGGCUUCGCCGGUUAUGUGAAAGGAUUUCGGGCCUUGGGAACAAUUCUCUACAGAGUUGAUUAAACAUUAUGCUAAUGAUAUGAUGGCUAGUCCUUUCGAACGCCUUACUGCUGUGCGACAAACUUCUUCCGUUAAUGCCUAUAUAGAUGAGUUUGUAUCCAAAGCUGUUCAAGUUCCUCAUGU